CUGAGCACCAGUCAUGCACAUGCCCACUCAAGCCCCAUCGCAGCCUGCCCUUGGGUAGCUGACUGGGCAGUGAAGGAGAGAGACAUGUGGGACCCCUCUGUGGAUGACCACCCACUCCCCACAACACUCAAAUUAGGGUGUAAACUGUGCACGUGAACAGCGCUCACAGCACCUGGCAACAACCCUCAAAGCAGCAUUUCUUCAACACCUGCAUUGCUCACAGACUCGGAGCGGGAGGCUGGGCUCACAUCUCAGGAGCAUCCAUUUCUGGUCCUGUGACUUUCAACCAGUACUGAGCCCUCCCUGAGUCCCGUGUGUUCAGAGGCUCACCCACUCCUCUUCUCCAGACCGUGAGCAUCUCCAGGGAAGGCUGGGACCUGGACCCUGGACAUCUUCACCUUCAGGCCUUGGUCUCCCAGAAGGCAGGGGCUGGGGAAGAGGAGCGAGGACUGCCCACAGUCAGGGUGGAAAAGAGCAGGUUCGUGCAAGCAGUGUCUACUGCACAGAAUGAAGAUGGACCAAGGCACUCUGUGGGAAGCCUGUGUGCAGCAUCAACCCUGAGGCAUCCAAGCCAAGGGGGAAGACUGGUCCAAGGCCAGUGAUUACUUGAAGGGGAACAAAGAUAAAGCCCUGAGCAGCAGCACUAACUGCU